CGACAGUUGGACGCAUCUCUGCAGAGGUGUAAUGAAGACAGUUUCCCAGUUUUCUUCACUACAGCAGUGCUGGGUUGCAUCUCAUGUCAGUGGUACACGAGAGGAUCAGAAUCCACUGACCAAGUGAGUAGCAAUGCCAUCUGGGCAUCAAGUUCUACACAAAGAAGAGUCACGGCACUAUGUAUUACAGGAAUUAAAAAAGAAAAGACCGCAGAGAAGAAGUCACCCAAAUUCUGAGUAACGGGUAUGGAGCAGAGCCGACAACGACCAGGGGAGAACAUUCCCUGAUUCUUGUUCAAAGUUGGAAUAGGUACUGGAGUUUUUAACCCAGUCAACACUGUGGCACAGCAAACAUGUUAAAGAUCCAGAAAAUUAUUUCUCCCCCUGUCCCUAGGGAGCAUCAAUUUCCGAAGAGCUAUCCUGGGGCAUUUGUUAGAUUAACUCUGCCUUAACUAAAGU